UAAACCCUAAUUCGUGCCUUCUCUAUUUCUCCUCAGUUCACCCCACUGCCGCCGCGCCGUCUUCGCUCUACUGCCGCCGCGUCCGUUGUCUCUCCGUCACACUCGCGUCGCCGUCAUACUGUCACACUCGCGUCGCCGUCGCUCUGUCCUUCACUUGAGGUGCCAAAGGAACUAGUACAACCAUCCCAGCUAGAAGACUUAAAAAAGGAGCGCAUUUUGGAAAAGUUCUAAAACAGAUGUUACAAAGCUUCAUGAUGAGAAAACUGGGAACACUCAACGUCGUCUUGCAAAUGGAAUUUCUAUUAACUAUGAGAUAUCAAAAACAGAAAUACAAAGUGGGGUGAUGUGGUUGAUUGUCGGUGGAAGACGAGCCGCUGAGAGUUCUGAAUCAAGAGGAUUCGUGAUUCUGGGUGUUAGGACACUUAGUGAGGGAGGUCGUGUUGGAAAUUUCUCAAGGGAGCAACUAUUGAUUCAUUAGAGAAAAUGAGUGAGGAAAGCAAAAAAAUAUACCAAUUUUUGGUGUGGUACCCUUGAAAGAGGCUCGAGUUAUACCAGAGUGUACAAGCUGAAAUAGAUACAGUUGCUUGGUCUAAGCAGAUAUUGAAUAGAGCAUAGUUAUAUUUUUCAUGAAUUAUUUUUACUAUGUUUUAGCUUAGAUUGUGGAUCAUAAAUUUGAUAUAUUUAGGAAUUUUCAAUAUUUUAAAUUCUAUAUUUCUA